rnacentral:misc_RNA from 1 species
AAUGAGACUUCACUGUUUAGUAGUAUGACAAAAUCUCAAGAAGGCUCUACUUCUGUUAAAAAUGGGAUUUGGAGCAUUUUAGAGAUAGCAGAACUUGUAGGAGGAUCUCUUCCUCUUGUUCACCCGGAGGCAUUCCUUGUUAACUUACUUUCAGGUAACUGGAAACGUUCAUAUGUGGCUCUGCAGUGUCUCAGUAAACAUGUAACUUCUA